UUUGUGUGUGUGUGUGUGUGUGUGUGUGUGUGUGUGCAAAUUGAGCAAUUUACUUCAUCAUCACCCUCUUUCCUCUGCAAAGUGAUCUUGUUUAAUGGCUGAAAAUUGGAGCUUUUACAGAAGCAAGUGCCCUGAUACACACACACACACACACACACACAAU